GAAAUGCGAUAAGUAAUGUGAAUUGCAGAAUUCAGUGAAUCAUCGAGUUUUUGAACGCACCUUGCGCUCCUUGGUACUCUGAGGAGCAUGCCUGUUUGAGUGUCAUUAAAUUAUCAAAAUUGUCACGAUAGUGGUGAUUUUGGAUUAUGGGAGUUGCAGGACCGUUGUUAGAGGGUCAAGCUCUCCUGAAAUGGAUUAGUAGAGCAAAAUGGAACUCUGUUGGUGUGAUAAGGAAAUUGAUCGUCAGAAAGAGUAACCAAAAGGCUUUGCUAUGUUGUUAUGAAAUGAUUUUGAAAAUUGACCUCAAAUCAGGUAGGAUUACCCGCUGAACUUAA
rnacentral:rRNA from 1 species